rnacentral:miRNA from 1 species
AGGGUGGCCAACCAUCCUGGUUUGCCUGGGAUUGAGGGGUUUCCUGGGAUGCAGAACUUUCAGUACUAAAACCACAACAGGC